AAAAUACUCAAAACAACCUAUUAAAAAAGUGUCAUCUGCAGAUCCUUCGAGAAAAGAUGUUGUAACUUAAACACGUGGGUGGAGCGGGUGUGCAGGACAGCACGCUUCUCUCCAUCAUUUUAAAUAAUCCACCAACGUCAGAUUAGCACCAUGAAGAAGGUGAACCGUGAGGGAAGCGAGUGGGAUCCAUCGCUACACACACCGUGGAGCUGAGAUGAGGACACUCCAUGACAAGAAGAGCUAACUAGGAGACCAAGAAAAAUCAGCUCUGAAGCGUUUCCACUAGAUAGUUCCCCGUUAAGUGUAGAUAAAGCUAGCUUGUCGAUCCAAGAAAGACAAUGAAUCAACACAGCAGAGAGAAUGUCGUUAGCUGGAGGAGACACUGGACUAGCCAGCGCGCUAACUCACAGGAUAAAGGUCCGAGCACAAGCUCAGCUCAACCGCUGCUGGAUACACUGAACACACCAAAUUACGCUAAAAUAGUGGUGUAUUUUUUUUUUUAAUAAACAGAUAUAAUUAAUAGGACUGCCUGGUUCUUUUGUCACUACUACGACCAUAAUAAAAGAUAAACCAACCCACAGAAAGAGGUAGCGAGUCGACAGGGAAGAGGCGCCAUCUAAUGACGUCACGGGUUCAGCAGGGUUGCAGAUUCCACAAGCGGGACAAAUAUGGUGCACGGGGGAGCCUGGAGCCUAUUCCAGGGGACUUGGGUACAAGGUGUGCCAAUCCACCGCUGGUCUUAAUCACACUCACACUACGGACAACUUGGAAAUGGUCAUCAGCCUAUAGCGUAUGUCUUUCGACUGAGGGAGGAAACCCCCGAAGCACGGGGAGAACAUGCUAGCUCCACGCACACAGCCAGAGACGGGAAUCAAAGUGCGAGGCAACCGUGCUAACCAUAGUUAAUAUUAAUACAUAGUUAAUAUUCUGAUAUAAACAGAACCUGAAUUUUUCUAAAAAUGUACAUUGUUCCACAAGCAGCUGCAUGAAGCUCUGAAUGUCCUCCCCAUUUCUUAAACAGGCUUUUAGUUUUUCGUUCAGGCCCCACUCUUUCUCACUCUUAAAAUGAAAUACAUUUUAAAUAAAUUUGAGACAGUAUAUGGUGUGAAAACUGACAGUGCAACGGUUUUACAACAGUGCACAUUUUUAAAAACAGGAACAGAAAAUCUAAUUUGAAAAGCUAUGUUAGUGUUAAACACAUGACAGGCAAAUGCUAGUGCUUCAUAAAAUAUGACCCUGUAAUGUCCAUGCAUAAUGUUGCUUGAAUUUUGGUAUUACACCAGUGUACCUAUGGAAAUGGUUAAGGGAAUUUCACAUUUGUCUGGAAUUCUCGAUGGAAAAAAGUGAAGAUA